UUCUAUCAAAAAUUCAAAAUCUAUGGUCUUCAAAUGCCGCCCUCAGUCAAUCCCAACCGUCCAAUGCAAAAACCCGUUACAAAUCUCAACUACCCUCCAUAAAACUCUGAGCAGCAAAACUACCCAAAAUAGGCAAAAUGACGAUCACCUGACUAGACCCACAGCUUCAAUGGCGAUUUCCGAGUCAACCCAUUUCAACAACCCAUACUUAACUCAAUCUUUCUGCUCAAAUGCCUUAAAAU
rnacentral:lncRNA from 1 species